rnacentral:rRNA from 1 species
AGUGAACGCUGGCGGUAGGCCUAACACAUGCAAGUCGAACGGCAGCACAGUAAGAGCUUGCUCUUACGGGUGGCGAGUGGCGGACGGGUGAGGAAUACAUCGGAAUCUACUUUUUCGUGGGGGAUAACGUAGGGAAACUUACGCUAAUACCGCAUACGACCUACGGGUGAAAGCAGGGGAUCUUCGGACCUUGCGCGAUUGAAUGAGCCGAUGUCGGAUUAGCUAGUUGGCGGGGUAAAGGCCCACCAAGGCGACGAUCCGUAGCUGGUCUGAGAGGAUGAUCAGCGACACUGGAACUGAGACACGGUCCAGACUCCUACGGGAGGCAGAAGUGGCGAAUAUUGGACAAUGGGAGCAAGCGUGAUCCAGCCAUACCGCGUGGGUGAAGAAGGCCUUCGGGUUGUAAAGCCCUUUUGUUGGGAAAGAAAAGCAGCAGGUUAAUACCCCGCUGUUAUGACGGUACCCAAAGAAUAAGCACCGGCUAACUUCGUG